GACGAACGCUGGCGGCAUGCCUAACACAUGCAAGUCGAGCGAGCAGAUCCUUUCGGGGUGAAGCUAGCGGCGGACGGGUGAGUAACACGUGGGCAACCUGCCUCAUAGAGGGGAAUAGCCUCCCGAAAGGGAGAUUAAUACCGCAUAAGAUUGUAGUACCGCAUGGUAUAGCAAUUAAAGGAGUAAUCCGCUAUGAGAUGGGCCCGCGGCGCAUUAGCUAGUUGGUGAGGUAACGGCUCACCAAGGCGACGAUGCGUAGCCGACCUGAGAGGGUGAUCGGCCACAUUGGGACUGAGAAACGGCCCAGACUCCUACGGGAGGCAGCGGUGGGGAAUAUUGCACAAUGGGGGAAACCCUGAUGCAGCAAUGCCGCGUGAGUGAUGACGGCCUUCGGGUUGUAAAGCUCUGUCUUCGGGGACGAUAAUGACGGUACCCGAGGAGGAAGCCACGGCUAACUACGUGCCAGCCGCCGCAGUAA
rnacentral:rRNA from 1 species